AACUUUGUGUUUGAGGGGGUACGUAACUGAACGAGAAAUUUUUUUACCUGUCCAAUUUCUAACGGAUCAAGAUAUC